CCUACGGGAGGCUGUAGUGGGGGAUCUUGCACAAUGGGGGGAACCCUGAUGCAGCGACGCCGCGUGGGUGAAGAAGCGCCUCGGCGCGUAAAGCCCUGUCAGCAGGGAAGAAAAUGACGGUAACUGAAGAAGAAGCCCCGGCUAACUACGUGCCAGCAGCCGCGGUAAUACGUAGGGGGCAAGCGUUAGCCGGAUUUACUGGGUGAAAAGGGGGCGCAGACGGCGAUGCAAGCCAGGAGUGAAAGCACGGGGCCCAACCCCGGGACUGCGCUUGGAACUGGGUGGCUGGAGUGCAGGAGGGGCAGGCGGAAUUCCUUGUGUAGCGGUGAAAUGCGUAGAUAUCAGGAGGAACACCGGUGGCGAAGGCGGCCUGCUGGACUGCAACUGACGUUGAGGCCCGAAAGCGUGGGGAGCAAACAGGAUUAGAUACCCUGGUAGUC
rnacentral:rRNA from 1 species